rnacentral:rRNA from 1 species
CAUUGAUGAUAACUUACAAUUAUUAUCCGCCUGGGAACUACGAGCACCAGCUUAAAACCCAAAGGACUUGGCGGUGCUUUAGACCCACCUAGAGGAGCCUGUUCUAGAACCGAUAACCCCCGUUCAACCUCACCCUUCCUUGUUCCUCCCGCCUAUAUACCACCGUCGUCAGCUUACCCUGUGAAGGGCUAAUAGUAAGCAAAACUGGCAAAGCCCAAAACGUCAGGUCGAGGUGUAGCGCAUGGAAGGGGAAGAAAUGGGCUACAUUCACUAACCCAGUGCACACGAAUGACACCCUGAAACACGUGUCUGAAGGAGGAUUUAGCAGUAAGUAGAAAAUAGAGUGUUCUGCUGAAACUGGCCCUGAAGCGCGC